rnacentral:rRNA from 1 species
GGUAGGAAGGGGGGAUCGCAAGACCUCUCGCUAUUGGAGCGGCCGAUAUCAGAUUAGCUAGUUGGUGGGGUAAAGGCCUACCAAGGCAACGAUCUGUAGUUGGUCUGAGAGGACGACCAGCCACACUGGGACUGAGACACGGCCCAGACUCCUACGGGAGGCAGCAGUGGGGAAUUUUGGACAAUGGGCGCAAGCCUGAUCCAGCAAUGCCGCGUGCAGGAAGAAGGCCUUCGGGUUGUAAACUGCUUUUGUCAGGGAAGAAAUCCUCUAGGUUAAUACCCUUGGGGGGAUGACGGUACCUGAAGAAUAAGCACCGGCUAACUACGUG